GGCUUGCAGUUUGCUCCUUCACUGCAAAAAUGGCUACUUCUUCUUCUUUAUCUUUCUUUUCUUCCACCAUUUUCUUCUCUAACUCCAACACCCUUCACUCCUCAAAGCAGCAGCAGCAGAAACAACUCAUUUUCAAACCCAAACAACAACAAUUCUCCAUCCGUUCAGAGGCCGCCGCCGCCACUAUUCCAAUUCUGUCCUUUGAUGGUACCGAAGUGGGCUCCACCACUCUCAACUUAAAAUCCGCCCCUCUUGAUACCGCACGCGCCGUCGUUCAUCGUGGGCUUACCACUGACCUGCGCAACCAACGUCGCGGUACUGCUUCCACCCUUACCCGAGCCCAAGUACGGGGUGGUGGUAUCAAACCAUACCCACAAAAGAAAACGGGUCGAGCUCGACGUGGGUCGAACCGAACUCCUUUACGACCAGGUGGUGGGGUUGUGUUUGGGCCGAAACCUAAGGAUUGGUCAGUUAAGAUUAACAAAAAGGAAAAGAGACUCGCGAUUUCUACUGCGCUUUCGAGUGCUACACAGAAUGCCAUUGUUGUGGAAGAGUUUGAUGAUAAGUUUGAGAAACCGAAGACUAAGGAGUUCAUUGAUUUGAUGAGAAGAUGGGGAUUGGACCCAAAAGAGAAAUCUUUGUUUUUGAUGACGGAAGUUUCAGACAAUGUGAUUCUCUCCAGCAGAAACAUUAGCACAUUGAAGAUGUUGACACCCAGAACUUUGAAUCUUUUCGACAUAUUGGAUUCUGAGAAGCUGGUUUUCACUAAAUCAGCUGUGGAGUUCUUGAAUGAACGAUACGGAAAUGAUGAUGAUGAUGAUGAUG
rnacentral:misc_RNA from 1 species